AUCCGCAGCAGGUCUCCAAG
rnacentral:piRNA from 1 species